rnacentral:rRNA from 1 species
GUGAGGAAUAUUGGUCAAUGGACGGAAGUCUGAACCAGCCAUGCCGCGUGCAGGAAUAAGGUCCUAUGGAUUGUAAACUGCUUUUAUUCGGGAAUAAACCUCUUUACGUGUAGGGAGCUGAAGGUACCGAAGGAAUAAGCACCGGCUAACUCCGUGCCAGCAGCCGCGGUAAUACGGAGGGUGCAAGCGUUAUCCGGAAUCAUUGGGUUUAAAGGGUCCGCAGGCGGGCUAUCAAGUCAGUGGUGAAAUCCCACAGAUUAACUGUGGGACUGCCUUUGAAACUGAUGGUCUUGAAUUAAGUGGGCGUUGGCGGAAUAUGACAUGUAGCGGUGAAAUGCAUAGAUAUGUCAUGGAACACCGAAAGCGAAGGCAGCUAACGAUACUUAUAUUGACGCUCAUGGACGAAAGCGUGGGUAGCGAACAGGAUUAGAAACCCGAGUAGUCC